rnacentral:lncRNA from 1 species
CGAGAGCAAGAGGUCAGAGCACAUCCAGACUCCUUAAGAGUCCUUAAAGCACAACAGACGCCUUUCUGUUUUGGAAACUUUUCAAAGCCAGGGACUUGUCCAGCCCAACCUCCCCAUUGCUCCUAGCUCCUGAGGCUCAGGACCCUUGGCUUCUGUCCUCCCUGCUCAGGGUCCUGCAGCGUUGCCUCUGCUCAGCCAUGCUCCUGCUGCUCGUCCCAGUGCUCGAGGUGAUUUUUACCCUGGGAGGAACCAGAGCCCAGUCG